rnacentral:rRNA from 1 species
CCUACGGGGGGCAGCAGGCGCGAAACCUCCGCAAUGUGAGAAAUCGCGACGGGGGGAUCCCAAGUGCCAUUCUUAACGGGAUGGCUUUUCAUUAGUGUAAAGAGCUUUUGGAAUAAGGGCUGGGCAAGACCGGUGCCAGCCGCCGCGGUAACACCGGCAGCUCUAGUGGUAGCAGUUUUUAUUGGGCCUAAAGCGUCCGUAGCCGGUUUAAUAAGUCUCUGGUGAAAUCCUGUAGCUUAACUGUGGGAAUUGCUGGAGAUACUAUUAGACUUGAGACCGGGAGAGGUUAGAGGUACUCCCAGGGUAGAGGUGAAAUUCUGUAAUCCUGGGAGGACCGCCUGUUGCGAAGGCGUCUAACUGGAACGGUUCUGACGGUGAGGGACGAAAGUUAGGGGCGCGAACCGGAUUAGAUACCCGGGUAGUCCUAACCGUAAACGAUGCGGACUUGGUGUUGGGGUGGCUUUGAGCU